GAUGAACGCUGGCGGCGUGCCUAGUACAUGCAAGUCGAGCGAACGGACGAGAAGCUUGCUUCUCUGAUGUUAGCGGCGGACGGGUGAGUAACACGUGGAUAACCUACCUAUAAGACUGGGAUAACUUCGGGAAACCGGAGUUAAUACCGGAUAAUAUUUUGAACCGCAUGGUUCAAAAGUGAAAGACGGUCUUGCUGUCACUUAUAGAUGGAUCCGCGCUGCAUUAGCUAGUUGGUAAGGUAACGGCUUACCAAGGCAACGAUGCAUAGCCGACCUGAGAGGGUGAUCGGCCACACUGGAACGGAGACACGGUCCAGACUCCUACGGGAGGCAGCAGUAGGGAAUCUUCCGCAAUGGGCGAAAGCCUGACGGAGCAACGCCGCGUGAGUGAUGAAAGUCUUCGGAUCGUAAAACUCUGUUAUUAGGGAAGAACAUAUGUGUAAGUAACUGUGCACAUCUUGACGGUACCUAAUCAGAAAGCCACGGCUAACUACGUG
rnacentral:rRNA from 1 species